GAUCUCCGAGUUGAGAGAGC
rnacentral:snRNA from 1 species